rnacentral:lncRNA from 1 species
GAAGAAGUCAUUCCCUAAUGUUGGCAAUCAUUUGGUUGUUUCAACAUUUCUUUUGUAGUUUCCUCGCAUGUUGAUUGUUAAUUGCUUUUAAGCAUUGUUGUUUUCUUUGAAUUGGUAAGAUUAAUGAAAUAUUUAUGCAUCUUUUGAAUUAAUCCAUUCGUAUUCACUCAUUUUUCAUUCAUAUUAAAAACAAAAAUACUCCUCUCAUUCACUUUUGUUUAUCAAACCGUUG